rnacentral:rRNA from 1 species
UGGGGAAUAUUGGACAAUGGGCGAAAGCCUGAUCCAGCCAUGCCGCGUGUGUGAAGAAGGUCUUCGGAUUGUAAAGCACUUUAAGUUGGGAGGAAGGGCAGUAAAUUAAUACUUUGCUGUUUUGACGUUACCGACAGAAUAAGCACCGGCUAACUCUGUGCCAGCAGCCGCGGUAAUACAGAGGGUGCAAGCGUUAAUCGGAAUUACUGGGCGUAAAGCGCGCGUAGGUGGUUUGUUAAGUUGGAUGUGAAAUCCCCGGGCUCAACCUGGGAACUGCAUCCAAAACUGGCAAGCUAGAGUAUGGUAGAGGGUGGUGGAAUUUCCUGUGUAGCGGUGAAAUGCGUAGAUAUAGGAAGGAACACCAGUGGCGAAGGCGACCACCUGGACUGAUACUGACACUGAGGUGCGAAAGCGUGGGGAGCAAACAGGAUUAGAUACCCACGUAGUCCCUGAGCGGGCUGGCAAGGCGCAU